rnacentral:rRNA from 1 species
UACGGAGGGGGCUAGCGUUGUUCGGAAUUACUGGGCGUAAAGGGCGCGUAGGCGGUUUACCAAGUCAGGCGUGAAAGGCCUGGGCUCAACCCGGGAACUGUGCUUGAUACUUGUAGACUUGAGUCCGGGAGAGGAUGGCGGAAUUCCCAGUGUAGAGGUGAAAUUCGUAGAUAUUGGGAAGAACACCGGUGGCGAAGGCGGCCAUCUGGACCGGAACUGACGCUGAGGCGCGAAAGCGUGGGGAGCAAACAGG